AUACGAAGGGGGCUAGCGUUGCUCGGAAUUACUGGGCGUAAAGGGCGCGUAGGCGGAUAUUUAAGUCGGGGGUGAAAGCCCGGGGCUCAACCUCGGAAUUGCCUUCGAUACUGGAUAUCUUGAGUUCGGGAGAGGUGAGUGGAAUGCCGAGUGUAGAGGUGAAAUUCGUAGAUAUUCGGCGGAACACCAGUGGCGAAGGCGACUCACUGGCCCGAUACUGACGCUGAGGCGCGAAAGCGUGGGGAGC
rnacentral:rRNA from 1 species